rnacentral:rRNA from 1 species
ACGAACGCUGGCGGCGUGCUUAACACAUGCCAGUCGAACGGAAAGGCCCUGCUUUUGUGGGGUGCUCGAGUGGCGAACGGGUGAGUAACACGUGAGUAACCUGUCCUUGACUUUGGGAUAACUUCAGGAAACUGGGGCUAAUACCGGAUAGGAGCUCCUGCUGCAUGGUGGGGGUUGGAAAGUUUCGGCGGUUGGGGAUGGACUCGCGGCUUAUCAGCUUGUUGGUGGGGUAGUGGCUUACCAAGGCUUUGACGGGUAGCCGGCCUGAGAGGGUGACCGGCCACAUUGGGACUGAGAUACGGCCCAGACUCCUACGGGAGGCAGCAGUGGGGAAUAUUGCACAAUGGGCGGAAGCCUGAUGCAGCAACGCCGCGUGCGGGAUGACGGCCUUCGGGUUGUAAACCGCUUUCGCCUGUGACGAAGCGUGAGUGACGGUAAUGGGUAAAGAAGCACCGGCUAACUACGUG